UACGUAGGCAGCAAGCGUUGUUCGGAAUUACUGGGCGUAAAGGGCUCGUAGGCGGCCAACUAAGUCAGACGUGAAAUCCCUCGGCUUAACCGGGGAACUGCGUCUGAUACUGGAUGGCUCGAGUUUGGGAGAGGGAUGCGGAAUUCCAGGUGUAGCGGUGAAAUGCGUAGAUAUCUGGAGGAACACCGGUGGCGAAGGCGGCAUCCUGGACCAACACUGACGCUGAUGAGCGAAAGCCAGGGGAGCAAACGGG
rnacentral:rRNA from 1 species